CCACGCUGUCUGAGAUCCUCCAGCACUGCUCGACUGGUACCACCUUCUCUCAGAAUGAGAGAGAAGAAUCCACCAGAACCCCAGUUGAGAAGACCUGCACCCUGUGGAAUUCUACAGACUCCUGCUCUGAAGGCAUGGUGCUGGGGGUGGAGUAAACUUCAGGGGAAACCCAUGUAGCCGAUGAUGGAUUCGAACACUGAGAGCUGAAGUUUAGAACUUGUUGGUUUGAAUGUCAUGAAGCUUCAUCGAUCUGAGGGUUUUUUCCGAUGACGGAUGGUGAAGCGCUGGUUCAAUUCUGAUGGAUUGCUGUUCUGCUGAAGAUCAAAGAGAAUUUACACUGUGGUUGAACAUCGGAGAGCUGCAUCGUCAGCAUCAUCAGCAUCAUCAGUCUGUUUAACUUGUGAAAGUUUAAACCCAGCUGAGGACGGCAGUGCGGCGAGGCCCGACGUGCCGAUAUCUUCGCUGUCGUUGCAGAAAAGUUUGAGCCUCGACGUGACGCCUCUGAGUCUGAAAUCAUUUCUUUUUUUAUUAAAGCUCUGGUUUAUUUUAACUGCUGACUCACUUCUGGAAAUCAAUGAACUGUUUACACUCGAACCACAUCUUUAAAGCAGAUCAUUAACGCAGUGAGAAUAGUUUUGACUCUGCAUUAAAACUCAGCCUCUGAUUCUCCUGCGACUGUUAAUGCGAUUGUGUAAAUUCUCCUUUUAUGGAAAUCAAUUAAAGUAAAUCAUCCAACAGAA